ACAUCUUAACGAAAAUGAAGUAAACAAAUGUCAUGAAAUAUUUUGCUCAUUCCUUCCGAUCGAUGUGUGUCGGCCGCGCGCGCGCGCCGAUAUCGGUGAUUGCGCAAUUCAUUUCCCGAUUUCGAUUUCUGCGCAUGUACGGUACAAAUUAUGCAGCAGACGACUGCGACUGCAUCGCAGAUCGCACACUCAACUGGCCACCUUGACGAAACUUCGAAAGUUAGUUGAUAUUCAACCGUAUAACGAUAACCUAACAGAAACUCUUAAAUAUAUGAAUGAUGAUGUAAAUUCAUCACCGACUUUUGCUGAGAAUAACUUUUAUCAACAAUGAAUCGACAGCAUGUUUUGAACUGUAGUUUUUCGUCUUGGUACUCUAGCUUCGUAGAGCGUACGAUCGAGAGUGAAGUCAUAAAGCUGCCACAGUUCUUUGUCAACUAUUUACUAGAAGAUGGAAUCUAUCUUCCUCUUAGCAAAGCUGAAUUAGCGGAGCAGAAUAUCCAUCAUGAGCUAUCAUCCAAGCGUCCAUCUUUUCCUGAUCUCCAAGCAAAAGUAGAGAAAGUAAUCAAUCAACUUGGAGGUGCAGUUUUUCCCAAGCUUAACUGGAGUGCACCAAGGGAUGCUUCCUGGAUUGUAUGUGGCAAUUCUUUGAAAUGCAACACUUUUAAUGAUAUAAUCCUGCUCCUCAAAAGCUCCAACUUUAUAUCCCAUGAUCUUACCAAACCGUUUGAGUUAUGCAAUGAGGCAGAGCAAGGGGGACAAGUACAGUACGAGUUGGUGUUAAGAAGAUGGAUAGAAAUACCUCCUUCAAUGGAAUUCCGUGUGUUUGUUGCAAAUCAAGAUGUCAUAGCAAUCUCACAACGUGACUGUCAAAGUUUCUUUCCAUGUGUACCUCCGCUGGAAGAUGACAUCACAUUUGAGAUAAUCAACCUUCAUGACAGAUACAUAGCUGGCACAUUCAAAGAGCGACAUUAUGUUGUAGAUGUAUUCCGCAAAGACAAGGCUGAGUUUUUGAUAGUAGAUUUCAACCCAUUCAAUGAAGUGACUGAUUCCUUACUUUUUACAUGGAAUGAGCUCUAUAGAAUGAGAGACAAUGAUGAAGAAUGUCAGUUAAGAUGUAUCAGAGAAGAGGCUGGUGUACAACCCAGUCCAUAUCUAGCUUAUUCUAUGCCUUCAGACUUCUUAGAUCUUUCUACUGGAGCAGAUGCCAACAAGCUGGUCAACUUCUUGAAAAUGGAGGUCCAAAGACAAGAUGAUUGUUCUUCUGAUGAUGAUGCUAGGUGAUGAUUUGUCCCUCUGAUGCAAUAGUAUUCACUGUUACCUUCUACCCCAAUAUAUCUUGCGUGUACUUUUCCUUCUAUGUUUCUCUUUCCUUACUCAUUUCAAUCGUUCUCCUAAAUGUUCAAUCUGGUUAAGAUGAUAAUCAUGUUUUAAAUGUAUUACAAGUAAGUUGGUCGUUUAAACUUAUGUAACAGUUGAUACAUAUUCAAUUCUCAAUACUCGUGUAAUUUUGUUCACAUUGCAAUCUCUGUAUUCAAUGGUGGUACAACGGCAUACUAUACUCUUUAACUUCUUGAUAAUUAUAUCACAUUCUGACAUGUAAAUAUCAUAUGCUUUUUGAAUUUUAUCUUCAUGUGAAAAAGACAUUCACAUAUUGUAAUGACAUUCAACCUUGGAUAUCCUGUUUUCAUAUGGGAACAUACAUAUGGUAAAACAAUUAGUUUAAUUUUCUUAUGUCAAGGGUAGCAUUUAAAGGAUGUGGGAAAAGGGAAGGUCAGUUCUUACAGGAAAUGAAUCUUAGAUCUAAAGUCCAAAGUUAUUGCAAUCAUCCAUUCACAUGCUUCAUACUAUAAUGCAUUCAUCUAUAUUUCUGUAUAAUGUUAUCUCUUUUGUAUGUUGGGGAUUUGAAAUUCAACUAAACUUUAUGCAUGUUCAUGGUCUAAGAAAGAUUUUAUACCAUGUACUUGAAUAAAGGAUACUAUGCCUCCGUCAAGUUUUUUGCAUCACAGAAAUCUAUUCCACGUAGGACAAAUUUGACUUUGAAAUUGUUACUGGUAUCCAUUUUGCAUAACAUGGUUUGAAAAUUAAUUCAUUUCGGGUGAUAAUGGGAGGAUCUCCAUUGCAUUAGUGAUCGCAAUAUUCAACUGCUCAUAACUUUCUCAUUAUUUGUCGAAUAUUUCUCAAACUUGCUUUGAUCUUAUUCUUUGAUUUUUCUGUUUCCACAAAAGUCAACUUGUUCUAAAGGUUUCAUUCCCUUUUAAAUGUCUGUAAUUGUUUAUAAAUUGGGAGAAGCUGCUCCUUUGAAACAUUGUAUGCCAUUAUAUCAUUCUGCAAGGACAGUAGUUUGCAGGAAAUUGUAAUAUGUAUAGAAUUCUGUAAAGAACAUAUAAAGUGGUGCUAAAAAGUUAGUGAACCCCACCAGAAAAUACACUCCCUCAUACUGAGUGUUGAAUGGAGACAACAACAUUACAAUGUUUGGCGAAACCAGACAAAAAUACUUUAUUGAAUGCAAUAUUUUAUAACCUGACUUCACAAUUAAAACAUGGCAGAAGUUAAACAUUUGAAAAAUAUUCACUUUCUGGUGGGUUCACUAAAUUGUUAGCAUCACUGUUGAGCCAGAAAAGAAGGGGGUUAUAAAGGGGAAAGCCCAGUUUAAUAAGAAAAAGCCACAGUGUGUAGAUGUCAAAAUUACCUACUGAUAGAACAAUGAAUAGGUGGAGGGUUUGGCACGCAGUCAAAGGUUCUGGCAUUAUAAAAAAAUGGCAGUAAUAAAUGGAAUGCGGAAUGGUUUUGAAAGUGAGGGGACUGACUAUGCAAAAAAAAACACCAAAACACAAUCAGAUUGUAAGUUUACGUUUUCGGACACGUUUACGUUUAUUGAAAACGUAGGUUGAAUCCAGCUCCCCCCCCCCCCUUUUACGCGGCACCUGGAAAGGAACUCCUACUUGAAUUCUACUUAAAGGAGAAUGAAACCCUUGAAACCAGCUGAAUCCACAUCAAAGAGAAAAAUCAAAGAAACAUAUUGUUGAAAGUUUGAGGAAGAUUGAAUGAAUAAUAAGAAAGUUAUGAGCAUUUGAAUAUUGAGAUCACUAAUGCCAUGUAGAUCCUCCUGUUGGCAAUGCGACCAAGAUCUGUGAUGUCACACACGUACAACUCAUUACUUUAGUACUUAUUUCACUUAUAUUCUCACUACUUUUAUAUAGUCUAUCACAAGGUGAGGUGUUAUCUUUAUGAGAGGACAAGUACAGAGGUUUCACAACAUUAUAUCAUUGAUGAAUCGUUUGUCAUAUGAUUAGAAUGAGCAAAAAGAGAUGUUUUGGGGUAUAUUUUCAGUGUCCAAAAGGGGAGAGUUGUUCAUCUGUGACAUCAUAGAUCUUGGUCGCAUUGCCAAUGGGAGGAUCUCCAUAGCAUUAGUGAUCUCGACAUUCAAAUGCUCAUAACUCUUCUAUUGCUAGUCCUAUUUUACUCAAACUUUUGUUGAUCUUAUUCUUUGAUUUUUCUGCUUUCACAAAAGCUAACUUGCUCCAAGAGUUUCAUUCUCCUUUAAGAAAAAUUGUCCUGUCCGUUGAUAACUGUCGUACGUCAUUUCAGGUCAAAAACUGAUUAGAGAUAUGUGUCUUUCUAAUUUCAAUAGUAGAUCCAUAAAUGUUCAUGUCCAUGAAGCUGUUAUAUACUUAACACACUGUAAGUAAGUGUUGUCAGGGUUUCCAAACUUAUACUCACCCCUGUAAACUAAAUUUCGAGAACACAAAAUAAAACUUCAUUAUUAAACGAGCUGAAGUUUGACUAAUAAAACAGAGCUUAGCAAUGUCUACUCAUAUACCAUUGUUUAUACUUGAUGACGCAA